rnacentral:rRNA from 1 species
UAUUUUAGUCUUGUUAGAGGAACCUGUUUUAUAAUCGAUAAACCACGUAUAUCUUACUUAUUUUAAAUAACUUGUAUACCGUCAUUAUUAGAUAACUUUCAAAAAAUUAGUUAUUAAAAUUAAAUAAAAUUAAAUAUAUUAGAUCAAGGUGCAGUUAAUAAAUAAGAAAAAAUGGGUUACAAUAAAAUUUAUUUAAAACGAAUUAUAUAAAUGUAAAAAUAUAUGAAGGAGGAUUUAAUUGUAAUUUUUCUUAUAAGAUAAUAAUAUGAUAAUAGCUCUAAAAUAU